AUUGAACGCUGGCGGCAGGCUUAACACAUGCAAGUCGAGCGGGGAAGGGUAGCUUGCUACCUGACCUAGCGGCGGACGGGUGAGUAAUGCUUAGGAAUCUGCCUAUUAGUGGGGGACAACAUUCCGAAAGGAAUGCUAAUACCGCAUACGCCCUACGGGGGAAAGCAGGGGAUCUUCGGACCUUGCGCUAAUAGAUGAGCCUAAGUCAGAUUAGCUAGUUGGUGGGGUAAAGGCCUACCAAGGCGACGAUCUGUAGCGGGUCUGAGAGGAUGAUCCGCCACACUGGGACUGAGACAGGGCCCAGACUCCUACGGGAGGCAGCAGUGGGGAAUAUUGGACAAUGGGCGAAAGCCUGAUCCAGCCAUGCCGCGUGUGUGAAGAAGGCCUUUUGGUUGUAAAGCACUUUAAGCGAGGAGGAGGCUACCGAGAUUAAUACUCUUGGAUAGUGGACGUUACUCGCAGAAUAAGCACCGGCUAACUCUGUGCCAGCAGCCGCAGUAACAC
rnacentral:rRNA from 1 species